UGCAGUAGAACGCUGAAGAGAGGAGCUUGCUCUUCUUGGAUGAGUUGCGAACGGGUGAGUAACGCGUAGGUAACCUGCCUUGUAGCGGGGGAUAACUAUUGGAAACGAUAGCUAAUACCGCAUAACAAUGGAUGACACAUGUCAUUUAUUUGAAAGGGGCAAUUGCUCCACUACAAGAUGGACCUGCGUUGUAUUAGCUAGUAGGUGAGGUAAUGGCUCACCUAGGCGACGAUACAUAGCCGACCUGAGAGGGUGAUCGGCCACACUGGGACUGAGACACGGCCCAGACUCCUACGGGAGGCAGCAGUAGGGAAUCUUCGGCAAUGGGGGCAACCCUGACCGAGCAACGCCGCGUGAGUGAAGAAGGUUUUCGGAUCGUAAAGCUCUGUUGUAAGUCAAGAACGGGUGUGAGAGUGGAAAGUUCACACUGUGACGGUAGCUUACCAGAAAGGGACGGCUAACUACGUGCCAGCAGCCGCGGUAAUACGUAGGUCCCGAGCGUUGUCCGGAUUUAUUGGGCGUAAAGCGAGCGCAGGCGGUUUGAUAAGUCUGAAGUUAAAGGCUGUGGCUCAACCAUAGUUCGCUUUGGAAACUGUCAAACUUGAGUGCAGAAGGGGAGAGUGGAAUUCCAUGUGUAGCGGUGAAAUGCGUAGAUAUAUGGAGGAACACCGGUGGCGAAAGCGGCUCUCUGGUCUGUAACUGACGCUGAGGCUCGAAAGCGUGGGGAGCGAACAGGAUUAGAUACCCUGGUAGUCCACGCCGUAAACGAUGAGUGCUAGGUGUUGGAUCCUUUCCGGGAUUCAGUGCCGCAGCUAACGCAUUAAGCACUCCGCCUGGGGAGUACGACCGCAAGGUUGAAACUCAAAGGAAUUGACGGGGGCCCGCACAAGCGGUGGAGCAUGUGGUUUAAUUCGAAGCAACGCGAAGAACCUUACCAGGUCUUGACAUCCCGAUGCUAUUUCUAGAGAUAGAAAGUUACUUCGGUACAUCGGUGACAGGUGGUGCAUGGUUGUCGUCAGCUCGUGUCGUGAGAUGUUGGGUUAAGUCCCGCAACGAGCGCAACCCCUAUUGUUAGUUGCCAUCAUUCAGUUGGGCACUCUAGCGAGACUGCCGGUAAUAAACCGGAGGAAGGUGGGGAUGACGUCAAAUCAUCAUGCCCCUUAUGACCUGGGCUACACACGUGCUACAAUGGUUGGUACAACGAGUUGCGAGUCGGUGACGGCGAGCUAAUCUCUUAAAGCCAAUCUCAGUUCGGAUUGUAGGCUGCAACUCGCCUACAUGAAGUCGGAAUCGCUAGUAAUCGCGGAUCAGCACGCCGCGGUGAAUACGUUCCCGGGCCUUGUACACACCGCCCGUCACACCACGAGAGUUUGUAACACCCGAAGUCG
rnacentral:rRNA from 1 species